GAUGAACGCUAGCGGGAGGCUUAAUACAUGCAAGUCGAGCGGCAAGUUUUGAUAGCAAUAUUGGAACCUAGAGCGGCGCACGGGUGAGUAACGCGUACAUCGACCUGCCCUAUACUGGGGGAUAGUCUUGGGAAACUGAGAAUAAUCCCGCAUGUGAUUAGAAUGCUGCAUGGCAAAUUAAUUAAAGCUGAGGCGGUAUAGGAUGGGUGUGCGUCUGAUUAGCUAGUUGGUAGUGUAACGGACUACCAAGGCGAUGAUCAGUAGGGGGCGUGAGAGCGUGACCCCCCACACGGGUACUGAGACACGGACCCGACUCCUACGGGAGGCAGCAGUAAGGAAUAUUGGUCAAUGGAGGGAACUCUGAACCAGCCAUCCCGCGUGAAGGAUGAAGGGGCUCUGCCUUGUAAACUUCUUUUGCAUGGGACGAAAAAACUUAAUUUAUUAAGGACUGACGGUACCAUGAGAAUAAGCACCGGCUAACUCCGUG
rnacentral:rRNA from 1 species